GCGGGGGUGGCCGAGCCAGGUCAAAGGUGCCAGCCUGAGGCGCUGGUCCCGUAGGGGUUCGGGGGUUCAAAUCCCCUCCCCCGCACCA
rnacentral:tRNA from 1 species